ensembl:lncRNA
GGGUAAUAAUGAGGUUGAGCUGUAGUAGCCACAAAAUCACAGAAAGUGCGCAGCGGUGACAUAUUCUGCUUCUCCGUGAAGAACCGCUAUUCUGUAGCACUUUAAUUUGAAACAAUGUCCCAGAGAACUAAAAGCAGAGAGCAGUCACAGUGAGUCCCUCUCCCCUGAGAAAAGGAGGCGCAGAGAAGGGCAGUGAUUUGUCAUUCGGCACCAGAUAUAGUGCAACCUUGGCAAAGUGCAGCAAGGGAGAAACACCACGAAUCAUCUGGAACUAAAGUUUAGGCUACUUCACUGACUCUAGGGACACGUCUUUCACUGGGAGGGGCUCGUUAUUGUGGAAGGACAAGUGGACAUAAGCAGAAAAAUUCAGGAUCUUACCGCCUUGCAGUGACAAAGCGACCUGAACUCAUUAACUUUCAAGGAGUGCUAGCAACUUUCUGCGACAUUAGUGACAGUGACCAGUGGCAACAGGAUGUGGGCGUGUCCAGUGGACACACUGAAGUUAAGAAAAGUUUGACAGUAUGCAAAUGAGGAGCGAAGCAGCGACUACCAAUGGGAAUGAAGAUAACAGAUUCAAAAUGGUAAGUGACAAGUACUAUAUUUAAUUGGAAAAUAAAUGUUUCUCUUGCACACUAUUUUGUUGUUUC